AUUACUGGAAGGGGACCAUGAGGACGAACAUCCACACAGCCAUAGCAGCGCACCCAGCGGUCCUCCCAGCGGUUACGCUGUUGAGACUAUACACUCAGGUGGGUACUCGGGCCCGCCACCGCCCCCUGUAUACGGGCCACCACCGUCGGCGCCAGGGCUGGUGUACGGCGCUCCCUUCGCCAAGAUCGCAAGGGCCGCUACGCCGCCUGCCCCUCAUCUCGACAAGCCUGGCCCAGGUGAAGUGCAGGCAGGUUUGCUGGUGCUGAAGCCCAUCUCGUUGCCAGAGCCGCGCGGACACUCGUCGCACUCCACUGCUGCCACGGGCCAUGUACCCGUCCUGGCGCCAGCGCCUCCGCACAUCU